rnacentral:rRNA from 1 species
UUUACUAGAAUAUAGUUAUCCUACUUGGAUAACUGUGGCAAUUCUAGAGCUAAUACAUGCAAAAAAGCUCUGCCCGCAAGGAACGAGCGCAUUUAUUAGAAUAAAAACCAAUCGGGUUUCGGCCCGUAAUUUGGUGAAUCUGAAUAACUUUGCCAAUCGCACAGUCCUAGUACUGGCGAUGUAUCUUUCAAGUGUCUGCCUUAUCAACUUUCGAUGGUAGGUUAUACGCCUACCAUGGUAGUAACGGGUAACGGAGAAUAAGGGUUCGACUCCGGAGAGGGAGCCUGAGAAACGGCUACCACAUCCAAGGAAGGCAGCAGGCGCGCAAAUUACCCACUUCCAGAACGGAGAGGUAGUGACGAAAAAUAACGAGACAGUCCUCUUCGAGGUCUGUCAUCGGAAUGGGUACAAUUUAAAUCCUUUAACGAGGAUCUAUUGGAGGGCAAGUCUGGUGCCAGCAGCCGCGGUAAUUCCAGCUCCAAUAGCGUAUAUUAAAGUUGUUGCGGUUAAAACGCUCGUAGUUGGAUCUGCGGCCUCGGAGAACGGUCCCCCGAAAGGGCGGUCACUGUCUCUCCUAGCCUAAAUUCAAGUCGUCUCUAGGUGCUCUUUACCGAGUGCUUAGAGUGACUAGAACGUUUACUUUGAAAAAUUAGAGUGCUUAAAGCAGGCGAAAUAGCCUGAAUAAGGUGCAUGGAAUAAUGGAAUAGGACCUCGGUUCUAUUUUGUUGGUUUUCGGAACCUGAGGUAAUGAUUAAGAGGAACAGACGGGGGCAU